rnacentral:lncRNA from 1 species
AUAGGAUUAAUAAUACGGUAGUAGUUGUUUGAUACACUAUCGUACUAAAUAAGCACCCACUUAAUUAUACAAUCCAUCAAAUUUAAUAUGAUUGACAUCGGACAAUUAAUACAACCCAAAAGCUCGGUAUUAUUAGUAGGGGGUGCUAACCAAAAAUACGCUUGCUUCUCUUCUUCGAUUUCACGCAUCUGCUCCUUGGCGAAUCCUCUCCAUCUUCAUCAGCAGUUCCUCGACGAGUUCUCAACCCCAACCGACACUCCUCUGCAAUCAGUCGCUAAGCAAUUUCCCAUCUCGUCCGCUGCUUCCUGCUCCAUCACGUUUCAGUCGUCGACGUCGAAGCACGAUGAUGUGGACGAAGAGGUAGUUGAGAUCAGGAAGCGUGAUCUAUCACACCUGGAUCUCGAUAUACAUUAAGAGUCGACACGUCACAAGGGAAAUAACGUUCGUUGAAUACGACAUAAGUUACGGCAGGAAAUACUUUAAUUGAUGAACCAAAAUAAUAUGAAGGUGGCUAAGUUCUCCACAAGAUAUUUACCAAUAUGUACAUCCCAAAAAGAAGUACAACCCUCGCUAGACUAAGAACAAGUUCGAGGUACUCAAAAGAAAGUCCCAAAAGAUAAAGUACAAGAAAGGAUAUAGGGGUAACCUAACGCUCCAAGUCUCUGAUAACUAUACUGCUACCCCAUCCACGUACCUCUCAGAAGCUACUCAGACCUGUCACCUAUAAGAUCAGUGCCUACACCAUCGGAAUGGUGCACUGGGCAAACAACAACCCGGAUAAGCUGCGAAGGUCGUGUGAAUGACAAUAAUACAAUGCAUGUGAUAACAAUAAUAAAAUCAACCAUCAAUCACAGUUUAUAAACCUCGAAUAUAAAACAUUCAUAAGAAAUCAAUACCAAACCUUUGAUAUCUCCGAAUGAGUCACCCAGACAUCCAACAGUUUUUCUAAGUCAAAACUCAAGGUUCUCGAAACGAUAGUUUACAAAAACACUAAAAACUAGGGUUAGAGUGACACAGUUCGGUCGAAGCCUACAUAAGUAACCAAACAGGAAGUGGCCCCUUAUGGCGGAUUAACCAAGCAGAACCAUCCUUGCAGUAACCAAGUAGGUAGUGACCCCUUAUCGCGGAUUAACCAAGUAGAGUGACUCUUACGCAUCUGUUAGGCAGUGAUCACCUAUGGCGGAUUAACCAAGCAUGAUCACCCCUAAGUGUGUGUAUGGCCAUACUAAAGAUACAAGGAUCACAUAACCAAGCAUGAUCAGCCCUAAGUGUGUGUAUGGCCAUACUAAAGAUACAAGGAUCACAUAUCUCGGAUUAACCAAGAACGAAAUAUGGUCCCCUAUCGCGGAUUAACCAAGCAGGACCAUUAGUGACCCCCUAUCUCGGAUUAACCAAGCAGGGUCAUAGUCCCCUAUUAACCCUCAAUUUAACAAACAUUUCAAAAAAAAUAAUAUUUUCAAACAGAUUUCAUAAACAUUUCAAUAAGCAAUUCACAUAACAUUUCAUAAAAUAGAUCGAUGGUAAACUUUAUAAAAACAAUUAUUUAGCAUAAAACAUAACUUUAGAAAUUCAUGUUGUAUACACAAAGUAUACUAGCAUGGGAGUUUUCAGGGUAAUAACAAUAUCACAUAUAUUAAAGUCAAUCACCUGGAGUCCGCGCUAAUGCACCCUAACACGAGAAUCAAGGCGUCACACUCUCUCACCUCAUGUGGCCAAGUACAAUUUGGCCAGAAAGGCUCCAAAUUCUUCGAUUCGACUUCCUUGGUGUUCCUACACCCCUACAAUUGAUUGGGUCUUGAUCCUGGGUCCAAGGGAAGUUGAUUAAGGGUGGUGGUGAG